GUUGGUUCUUCAUGCCCUCUUGUUUGGAGCUGCUUUUGUCAACUGGGCCCAGCUACUGCGUCUUGGACCAAGGAGGCGAUGAGCCCUGAAACAGUCCAGGGUCUCUAGGAGAGCAACUCCCAAACCAUGUUUCUGGCCCUGCCUUCCCUCUGUUAUUCUGGGGAAAAAACUGACCCUACGUGGGUGGGAGGUCCCAUCUACAGAGACCAGCCUUGUUUGUUUCCAUAGGAUUUGACUACUGAGGGGCACGAAAAUACAUAGCCAACUUCCCCUUGCAGAGUUCACUGUCUCCCCUUCCAGCAGAUGACUCCAGGAUCCUUGGAAGCAUAGGAACACACCCCAGUUGAUGACACUGUUUCCUCUCCUCUGCAGAAGAAGAUCCUCUCCACUCACAGGAAACAGCAGCAAGAUGGUUUCCAGGCACCAGCUGUCACUGGGCUUGUACUGUUACAGUCCAAGCUGAGCACGCAAGGCAGGGUGUGUUUCUGGCUCCCCAUAGCUGAAAGCUCAACUUCAUGUGGUCAGGUCUUGGAUGGCGUCAAGGCCUGUAGGGUGAACAGAACUCUCUGAGUCACCUUUCCCUGCUGUUCAGGGCCUUGAUAUAACAGACAGGGCCAUUGGCUCCACAGGGGCAUGGUGGGGAAGAAGGGUCCAGGAAGGCACUUUGCCUUUGUGUCUUGUCCUUGGUAUUUGGAGGGCAACACCCCUGUAUUUUUCUAAUCCUAUUAGCUAAGAAUCUGGAACCUGGGCCAGAGGCCUGGGUUCUAACACUAUCUCCACCGUUUCCCAACCAUGGAUACACCCUAUACUUUCCCUCGUCUGUACAGUGGAGCUAAUAAUAGUACCUAACUCAUGGAACUAUCAUGAGUCUUAAAUGAGUGUUAACACGCAUGAAGUGAAGUGCUUAUAUCUGGCAGAUAGUAAAUGUGUAUUAUCAAUUUAAUUUACACUAUUAUUUGACUGUAUUUCUACUAUACAGAGCAACUAUUGCCUGGUCAUAUGUCCUAACAAAUAAACUGUGGAGACAGACAAGUAACUGUCUCAGUGCUAAGGACACCACUGACCCUCAACAGAAUAAUGCCCCCUAAAGAUGUGUAGACCCUAAUCCCCGGAAUCUGGGAAUGUGUUAGGUUACACGGCAAAGGCAAAGGAAGGUUGCAGGAGGAGCUGAGGCUGCAAAUCAGCUGACCUUACAGUGGGAAGAGAAGCCUGAGUUCUCCAGGUGAGACCAAUGUCCAGCAUCCUGGCUGAGCCUGCUCCCUUUACAAACAAGGUUAGGAUUUAUAACUGCUUUCAUGGUAACAUCUGGCUCAUUUCUCUCAAGUUCCCCCAACUCUUUUUUUUUUUUUAGUAUACAAAUCUUUAUUCUAAAGUCAUUUCAUUUCGGCUCAAUUCCUUCUCUCUCUCUUUCUACCUGUUUGUUUGGCCUUUGGAGAUUGAGAAUGAGAAGUAACAGG
rnacentral:lncRNA from 10 species